rnacentral:rRNA from 1 species
ACGCGAAAUCUCCCUUCGGGGAGAAAGUAGAGUGGCGCACGGGUGAGUAACACGUAGGUAAUCUACCUUUGGAUGGGGAAUAACGCAGAGAAAUCUGCGCUAAUACCGCAUAAUGCAGCGGCACCUAAUGGUGACAGUUGUUAAAGCGGGGGAUCGAAAGACCUCGCGUCUAAAGAGGAGCCUGCGGCGGAUUAGCUAGUUGGUAAGGUAAUGGCUUACCAAGGCUACGAUCCGUAACCGGCCUGAGAGGGCGGUCGGUCACACUGACACUGACAUACGGGUCAGACUCCUACGGGAGGCAGCAGUCGGGAAUUUUGGGCAAUGGGCGAAAGCCUGACCCAGCAACGCCGCGUGAAGGAUGAAAUCCCUCGGGAUGUAAACUUCGCAAGAACGGGAAGAAUAAGUAGGGGACAAUACCCCCUAUGAUGACGGUACCGUUUGUAAGCUCCGGCUAACUCCGUGCCAGCAGCCGCGGUAAUACGGGGGGAGCAAGCGUUG